rnacentral:rRNA from 1 species
AGCAGCCGCGGUGAUUCCAGCUCCAAUAGCGUAUAUUAAAGUUGUUGCAGUUAAAAAGCUCGUAGUUGAACUUCGGAAUUUGCCCAUUGGUCAGGCUUAACUGUCUGCACUGGUGUGACGAGUUCCUACCUUCUGAGGAAUCUCCAUGUCAUUCAGUUGGUGUGGGGGGAAAUCAGGACUGUUACUUUGAAAAAAUUAGAGUGUUUAAAGCAGGCGUCCGUCUGAAUACAUUAGCAUGGAAUAAUAAAAUAGGACGGUUUGGUUCUAUUUUGUUGGUUUCUAGGAUCACCGUAAUGAUUAAUAGGGAUAGUUGGGGGCAUUAGUAUUCAAUUGUCAGAGGUGAAAUUCUUGGAUUUAUUGAAGACUAACUACUGCGAAAGCAUUUGCCAAGGAUGUUUUCAUUAAUCAAGAACGAAAGUUAGGGGAUCGAAGACGAUCAGAUACCGUCGU